UACGAGGGGGGCAAGCGUUGUUCGGAAUUAUUGGGCGUAAAGGGCGCGUAGGCGGUGCGGUAAGUCUGAUGUGAAAUCUCCGGGCUCAACUCGGAGUCUGCAUCAGAAACUGCCGUGCUCGAGUGUGGGAGAGGUGAGUGGAAUUCCCGGUGUAGCGGUGAAAUGCGUAGAGAUCCGGAAGAACACCAGUGGCGAAGGCGGCCCGCUGGGCAGUGGCUGACGCUGAGGCGCGACAGCGUGGGGAGCAAACAGG
rnacentral:rRNA from 1 species